CAGAAGCUGCUUCAGCACAGAUGUUUCUGAUGGUGAUAUGUUCUCUAUUAUCCCUUCCAGGUGGAGAAUUUAUUGGCUGUUGACCUUAAUCUCUUACUCUUUUUCUUCUGUUCCACUGCUGAUUUGGAAAUCAGGAUGUACAUCCUUGCUGAAGGUGGCUAAAAUACCAGGAGCAGAAGGGAGGAACCGGUUUGAGCCACUGGCUAUCAGUCAGAAUGGUUACUGUGCUAAUGAAAAUUUGGAAUGCUUGGCAGAAGCAGGAAUUUCUCUGUGCUGUUUAUGAGGUAUAUAAAAAGGUCUAUUCAACAGAGCUCUACUUGCAGAAGGAAUCAUGGCAUGUGGUAGAGAUCAUCACGAGGAACUGCAAAUGCUACCAAGUGAGGCGCUGAUUCCUGAGCAAUGCUGUCUACAGUGACAGGUUGUAUCUCUCUGCCUGUGUCCCGGUGAGCAUGGACCACUAAAGAUUCCUAUUUGGAAGUAAAAUAUCCACAGAUUUAUAAAUGUCUAGCACUGAAGAUGGUUACUGACUGCAUUUAAUCUCCAUUUUUAUCCUGAAAAGGAGUUUUGAGCUAUAUUCUUCUCUUCUGUUACCUCCAGUGUCCCCAGCUGUCUAUGUGAAGAACAGAAGAAAAAGGGUGGGGUCACAUCUACCCAUUAAUUCAGCUGCACUUUCAGUUGGGGCCCAAACUUACUACUGAAAUAGCCUCUGAUGUAGUUUGCCGAAGCUCUGCAUGCAUGAUGCAGCUGAAAAUUAUGGCCUACUUUAAGUAUCGAAAAGCCACCAUAAGGUCUCGCUGGAGCCUUCUCUUCUCCAGACUGAACAACCCCAACUCACUCAGCAGAGCUGUUCCAGUCCUCUGAUCUAUUCUGUGGCCUCCUCUGGCCCUGCUCCAACAGAUCCAUGUCUUUCCUGUACUGAGGGCUUCAGAGCUGGACACAGGGUUCCAGCAGGUAAUCAGUAAGAUGAGAAACCGACUGCAAGGGAAAGGCCUCCUGAAACAAGAAGGUACUCUGGGAGCCAAGUCUUAUCCUGGUGACCUUUUCAGCAACACAGCGACAACUGGUGCUCUCUUCAUUAUCUGGACUUCAAAGGAGUUGAAUUAAUUGGGGAGGAAACUGAUUACACUAUUGCAGCAGGUCACCCUCUUGGUCAUCUGUGUGAAGAAUAGGUCAUUUACACAGGCAAAUGGCAUGGACUUGACUCUCACCCUGACAUGGAUCCUGGACACAGCCGAAUUGGGAUACAUCUGGCACUGGGAGAUGGAAUGUCACAGAGACCUUUGCAGUUUUUGAUGGAAGUGAAAGGAGCACUAUUUUAGCAUAAUCACUAGCCCAAAUGAUGAAUAUACAAAUAGGUAUUUGAAGCUGGGUUUUCACAAGAUUGCAGAAGAUUUGAGGCAUUCAAGACUUGCUUGGCAAAUCCUUGGAAAACUGCAAGUUUUACUGGUCUAAUGGUAUACAGACCUCUGUCUCCUCACCAAAAAAACAAUAUUUUACAACAUCCAGGAUUCAUGAGAUCACACAUACUUUCCCCAAAGCUGAUGAAUUACAGGUUACCUCUUUGAGCUGGAGACCAGAAGUGAAGAACAGAACCAGAUCCAAAUGGCACAAAAGGUCACCACAUUAUAAAGAACUGUAAGUUCUGUAAGCAAACCAGGGAACUGAAGGUCAUCACUGUUUCAUAAAUUACUGUGCCAUGAAAGUCAAAUGAAAGCUACAGGACGUCUGCUUUGAAAACUGAGAUCAUACUUACGCUUAAAGCAAAGAUGCCAGAGGAAACUGGGAUGAAAAAGUUCAUUGCUGUGAUGUGAAACGAUCUGUCUGGCAUGGUGCACCCUCUCAAAUGGCCAAAGAAAAGGUGGAUCCCUCUACAAGUAUGGUUGACACUCCCUACAAAGUGAGACUCAAAACUAAGUUUCUCUGGGGAACCUUGAAGGUGGCCAGGGUCAUCACAGCAGACUGAAAACUGAUUUGAAGCCUCAGAGGAUGCACAGUUCUUGCACUGCUAUGGACAUUCUUCUACUUCUCUGCUUCAGCAAGUCAUCUAGUGUACCAACCUAAUGUUGCCAUGAGCUACUCCCCACAAAGUGCAGUGGAACCAAGGUUUGAAAUGCUCUCACAGUUCAAGUGAUAGAGAGUGUCAGAAAAAAUGAGAGGAGCCAUGAAGAAGACAUGUCUUCAGUUUGUGUAAGUAGACGUGGCUGCCCGACGCUUCAGCAGAUCUGCGUUCAUUCAUACUAGCUGAAAAUCUGACCCCUGGUGCUUUCAGAGUUUCUUGCAGAGAGUUAUUUGAGUAGAAAACAGGGUUAAUG